CCUUCUUCUCCAUUGUCAACAUUAGUCUACUUACUCACUCACUCAGUCUCUGGCUGGCUGCUGGGGUCCUCAGGUGGGUAAGUUGGGUUCCCCCGUUGGAGGAGCUUAGACACUCAGGGAGCCUGCGUUCUCAGGAAUGGUCCUUUUGCACCGUCGCAAAGCAUCCUCCCGACUAGGAAGGGGGACUGCAGCUCCUCCAGGAUGCCCGCUGACACCAGGGAUUCCUGCCAGGACCUGCCAACAAGAGCCCUUUCAGCUUUCCAGGGUCUCUCAGUAGGCUCUGUGACAGAGCCAGUGAAGUCCUGGCCCGCGGAGAGGGAGUGGGGAAGGCGAGAGCGCGCCUGGCUGGGUCCCGGAGCCGGGCUGUGGGCGCCGCCUGCUGGAGAACUGGAGCGCCUGCGGAUCUUCUUUUACAAAUGGGGCCCAGUAAACGCUAGGUUUGAAGUAACGCCAAGCUGUGCGUGUUUACCACCUGCACCUGAUUAACUGGCAGCCAGGUGAGCGCUGAGUAAAGGAGCCAGAAUUCCGCGUCACUGGGAGCCUCUGCCCGUCUGUCCAGCCGCCUUCCCCACCACCUCACACGGCACAGGGACCACAGGGACGGCGCCGCGUUCCCUUUCCUUACCAGGUCCUGCGAGGUGCUGCUUGAAUUUGCCUCACCACGGCAGGCCGUCGCGGAAAUAUGUGCGUGGGAGUUACGUCCUCGAACAAUGGAGUGUCUCAAUCAGUAGGGAACAACGGAACCAAGAGCCCAGGAAGGAGGGAUGGGAGCUGGAGCUGAAAACGACUUUCAGCAUGAGGUCACUGCCUGUUUUUAGGGCUGAGGAAGAAGAUGUAAAGGAGGGGGUAAUGAAUUCCACAAAUUUAUUAGCUGCUGUGUGAACUAAUACUCCCAUUAAGCACACUGGGAAACCAGCGCUUCCAGCCAGGGAAGUUUGUCCUAGAGAUGGAGUUUUUCAUGAGCUGAAGGAGAAGCGUCAGUGCAGUAGAGGUCAAGGACAUGGAGUCUAGGCUCUGUUCAAAGAGUUUAAUCAUGGCUUCUGGACCUGCUCUAUCUCUACUAAGGUAUGACUGCACACCAGAAGCUACUUUUCAAAUGGUGAGUAGUUCUCUGAUGCAGUAGUCUUGUCUGUGCUCCAGACUGCUAGCGCUGUGUACUGUACCCCUCCUAUUUGGGCUUGCUAAGGAUUUUACACAUCUGUGAUAACUGCUGUGCAUACCAUCAGCAAGAGUGGAGCUUCUGGGCCAUACAACCUGAGUGGUAAGGAAACUUGCGCCACAGCAAAACUGUCAGUCUCCUAAGUCACCUGGUACAUGGGUUAGGUGUGAUGUAUACUAAUAUUUUUAAGUGUAACAUAUGCUACCUCCAAAAUCCAAAGAAGUAAUCAAACAUAUAGGAGAUUAGUAAUGAAACAAUGUGUCUUUUACUUUAGAGGGGGUGUAAUGACAUGCCCCAGGCCACUACAUUCCUUAAAAUCUCACAGAUGUGGCAGGCUCCUGUAUCUUCAUAGGAUUUUUCUUGUAUCUUCUAGCAUAAUGUGUCUUUCCAGAGCAUCCAUAGUAUUUGCCACAUUAGUGUCAAUAGUAUGAUGUCAUCAAUAUGCAGGAACACUAAUAUGUUCUUUGUAAUGUCAAGGUGAUCAAGGUUCCUGUGGAUUAUAUUUUGACAGAGAAUGAGUGAAUUAGCUUGGCCCUUGGCAGGAUUGUUAAAGUAUAAUUCUGUCCCUGUCUCCCAUUAGAUCUCUUUAUCCUUUCUCGAUGGAGAUAGAGAAGAAUACAUUCCCUAGAUAAAUAGCUGCAGAACCAGCGCCUGAAGCCAUUUCGUUUUGCUCCAAAAGAGAUGCCACAUCUGGGAACAGCAUCUGCCCUUGAGGCGCCCACCUUUAAGCUUAUGGUAGUCUACUGUCCUCUGCCACACUUCAUCUGGUUUUCUCAGGUGUCAAAGUGCUGAAGGGGGAAGUGAUGGAGAGUACCACCCUUGUUUUCUUGAAGCCUUGGAGGGUUGUGCUAAUCUCUGAAAUUCCUCUUGGGAUACAGUAUUGCUUGUGACUUGCUAUUUCAGCCAACACUGAGGCAGUUUCAGAGGCUUCCACUUGAACUUUCCUACCAUAAUGGCUCUUAUUCUACAAGUUAGACAACAAAUGUGAGGCUGCUUCUAGGAGUUAAAUAUAUCUCUCCAGUUAUACACUUGGGAACUAAGAAAUGAGCAGGUCUGCAGUUGUAUUGGACUCACUCUAGAAUGAUAUACUACUCCAUUUAUCACCUGACCUCCACAGGCAUUCACCGUAACCAGAGAAUUAUUAUGGAAUUUUGGCUUUCCUACUGUUAGUGGCAGCUCAGAUCCUGUACCUCAAAAUCCUCAAAAAUUUUGGAUAUUCUGGACAUUCCUUUCCCUGGUGUACAGUUAGCCUGGAAAAUGGCUUCACAUCUUUUUUGGGGAAGAACUGGGGAAGUAUUCAUUGUAUAAACCUGUGGUGAGUUACAUGUUUCUCAGUAGGAUCUGUAGUCCUCUUUAAUCAGUGGUUUCUGAAUCUAAGAACAAAAGAAGAACAAGAAAAUUAAAAUGUCGUGGAAACCAAGGAACUAGAAAAUUUCAAGGGGACUACUAUAUAUUUACCUAAACCAAUGUCCUUCACUUCCGGGAAACAUAACUAAAUGACUUCUCUGGCAGUUAUCUGAGGCCACGUGACUGAGUUCUGACCAGUAGAAUGCAGGCAGUGUAAUGUACACAACUUGAAAGUGGGAUGAUCGUUCCAUAGAAAUCUCCCACUCAUCACAGGGAGCAGAACAGAAGGAUAUGGGGCACCAAAGACACAUUUUGCCUGAUUCCUGGUUUCCCCUUUGUCUUCUCUCAGGUAUCUAGUAAUUCAUACUAUUUGGAUGAAAGAGGAUUGGAGCUGGAGUUAGGAGUCCUGGGUCUGCUUCCUGGUUCCAUCAUCUAUCAGCUCAGAUCAAUGCUGGUCCUGAAGAUUAGUUUGGGGCCUUGAUGUCGCAGGGGGAUUGCAGCAAUGCAACAUGCUAGGAUGUGCUUAAUCUGUGUAAGAGUGCACAGCAGGCCCUGUAUACUUAAAUCCUCCAGAGAACGUGAUUGAAUAUUCAAAUGAUAACCAUCGCAGAUGUUCCCUUCUGAGAGAUGACCUUGGCUAAUGUCUGCAGCAAGUAUAUACAAAGGCCAGCCCUCUUCCCUCAAGGUGCAAUUCUGUGCUGCAAUUCAGCCCCUAGGGCUUCCCCAGGGAUCAGACUGAAGCUGGUUUCCAGCUGAGAGCACAGUCCCUCUUCCUGUUGUUGCCCUGCCCUGCCCUGCUUCCCUCACAAUCCUACUCCUCAAAGUACUCCCCCAGUAAAUCCCUUGAACCAGAAUUCCUCUCUCAGACCCUGCUUCUAUGGAACUUGACUGAGGCAGUACUAUUUUAAUGUCAGAAAGUGUGCUUAGCCAAGUUUUUAAUAGAAAUAAACGCGAAGCACCAAAGACCACAGUGACUUUUAUAUUUUCUAUAGAAAAAUAUGAUCAUUAAAAUUGUCAGCAAUAAAAUUAAAUUACAAAUUAUGGUCUGAGAAGCAGACUAAAGCAGUUUGCCACAUCAUAUUCUUCUUAGUCACAAGCACUGGAUUUGCUUGUGCAUAUGGUAGAUACACACAAGGUUUGAGGUCUUUGUCAUCUGUGAAGAAGCUGCUCUGGACAAGUGUCUGUGAUUAGGCAGGGGGCCUUUCUAACUAGCGGCUACAUUCAGAUCAUUCAAAACUUUCUCUGUGGAACGAAUUUAUGGUUACCAGCGGGGAAGGAUGGAGGGAAUGGAUAGUUAGGGAGUACGGGAUUGACAUGAACACACGGCUCUAUUUAAAGUAGAUAACCAACAAGGACCUACUGUAUAGCACAGGGAAAUCUGCUCAAUAUUAUGUAACAACCUAAA